GGGGUUGGGGAUUUAGCUCAGUGGUAGAGCGCUUGCCUAGCAAGCAAGGCCCUGGGUUCGGUCCUAAGCUCUGG
rnacentral:tRNA from 1 species